rnacentral:rRNA from 1 species
ACGUAGGUCCCGAGCGUUGUCCGGAUUUAUUGGGCGUAAAGCGAGCGCAGGUGGUUUAUUAAGUCUGGUGUAAAAGGCAGUGGCUCAACCAUUGUAUGCAUUGGAAACUGGUAGACUUGAGUGCAGGAGAGGAGAGUGGAAUUCCAUGUGUAGCGGUGAAAUGCGUAGAUAUAUGGAGGAACACCGGUGGCGAAAGCGGCUCUCUGGCCUGUAACUGACACUGAGGCUCGAAAGCGUGGGGAGCAAACAGGAUUAGAUACCCUGGUAGUCCACGCCGUAAACGAUGAGUGCUAGAUGUAGGGAGCUAUAAGUUCUCUGUAUCGCAGCUAACGCAAUAAGCACUCCGCCUGGGGAGUACGACCGCAAGGUUG